UACGAAGGUGGCAAGCGUUGUUCGGAUUUACUGGGCGUACAGGGAGCGUAGGCGGUUGGAUAAGCCCUCCGUGAAAUCUCCAGGCUUAACCUGGAAAGUGCAGAGGGGACUGUUCAGCUAGAGGAUGGGAGAGGAGCGCGGAAUUCCCGGUGUAGCGGUGAAAUGCGUAGAGAUCGGGAGGAAGGCCGGUGGCGAAGGCGGCGCUCUGGAACGCAACUGACGCUGAGACGCGAAAGCGUGGGGAGCAAACAGG
rnacentral:rRNA from 1 species